rnacentral:rRNA from 1 species
UACGGAGGGGGCUAGCGUUGUUCGGAAUUACUGGGCGUAAAGCGCACGUAGGCGGCUUUGUAAGUUAGAGGUGAAAGCCCGGGGCUCAACUCCGGAAUUGCCUUUAAGACUGCAUCGCUCGAAUUGUGGAGAGGUAAGUGGAAUUCCGAGUGUAGAGGUGAAAUUCGUAGAUAUUCGGAAGAACACCAGUGGCGAAGGCGACUUACUGGACACAUAUUGACGCUGAGGUGCGAAAGCGUGGGGGGCAAACAGG